AGCUGAUCAGCCAUGAGAAACUGCUCCUUCAGAUCAACACAGAGAGGGAGAUGGGCAACAUGGAAUACAAACUGGGGCAGGUCUCCAUCCAUUCAGUGUGGUUGGGUAACAACAUCACGCCUCUCAGGGAGGAAGAGUGGGGUGAGGAUGAAGAAGAUGAGGCAGACACUCCGGCGCCCACCUCCCCACCUUUAUCUCCUAUAAACUCUAG